AUACUCUGACAGGCGCGUCGGGGGCUUUUAUACUCACAGGACAGUGACGUCAUCACACCCUAUCCAGUUUUGGUCAUGGUUUCAACAAAACUGUUGACUUUGGCAUUGUGACAUUUUUUGGGGUAGGCGUCACAAUGAUCGAUGGGACAACACAUGGGAAUCACUUUAAUCCAGUAAAGGUCACCUGUGUCGGCUAUGGCUGAUGCGCAGUGAAACGCCGAGACCAAGACAAUGACGUCACAAUGCCAAAGUCAACAGUUUUUGAAAACCAGACCAAAAAUCUUCAGGCUGCGAUGACGUCACCGCCCUGCGAGUAUAAAAGGUCUCGCCGCACCUGUCAGAGUAUCAUUAGCAAUAAUGGCACGCCGCAGACGUUCUCCUUCUUCCAAGGCCGCCAAGAGGCGCAACAGGCGCACAAAGAAGAGAGCAGGCAGGAGGAGGAGACGCUAAACUAUCAGGUAUAGUUCCCUCGGUGUGUCUGAAAAUCUCAAUAAAAUGUUGAGAAUUUAACACAA